rnacentral:rRNA from 1 species
UACAGAGGUCUCAAGCGUUUGUUCGGAUUCAUUGGGCGUAAAGGGUGCGUAGGUGGCGCCGUAAGUCGGGUGUGAAAUUUCGGAGCUUAACUCCGAAACUGCAUUCGAUACUGCGGUGCUUGAGGACUGGAGAGGAGACUGGAAUUCAUGGUGUAGCAGUGAAAUGCGUAGAGAUCAUGAGGAAGACCAGUGGCGAAGGCGGGGUCUCUGGACAGUUCCUGACACUGAGGCACGAAGGCCAGGGGAGCAAACGGG